rnacentral:rRNA from 1 species
UACGGGGGGAGCAAGCGUUGUUCGGAUUUACUGGGCGUAAAGAGCGCGCAGGCGGUCGUCCAAGUCGCGUGUGAAAGCCCCCGGCUCAACUGGGGAGGGUCACGCGAUACUGGUCGACUCGAAGGCAGGAGAGGGUAGUGGAAUUCCCGGUGUAGCGGUGAAAUGCGCAGAUAUCGGGAAGAACACCCGGGGCGAAGGCGGUUCUCUGGGACGGUACUGACGCUGAGACGCGAAAGCGGGGGGAGCGAACAGG